rnacentral:rRNA from 1 species
AACGAACGCUGGCGGCGCGCCUAAUACAUGCAAGUCGAGCGAGAAGACGUAGCAAUACGUUUGUAAAGCGGCGAACGGGUGAGGAAUACAUGGGUAACCUACCCUCGAGUGGGGAAUAACUAGCCGAAAGGUUAGCUAAUACCGCGUACGCUCCUUGGACUUCGGUGCAGGGAGGAAAGCGAUACCGUGGGUAUCGCGCUCUUGGAUGGGCUCAUGUCCUAUCAGCUUGUUGGUGAGGUAACGGCUCACCAAGGCUUCGACGGGUAGCUGGUCUGAGAGGACGAUCAGCCACACUGGCACUGCGACACGGGCCAGACUCCUACGGGAGGCAGCAGUAAGGAAUAUUGCGCAAUGGGCGAAAGCCUGACGCAGCGACGCCGCGUGGGGGAUGAAGGUCUUCGGAUUGUAAACCCCUUUCGGGAGGGAAGAUGGAAUGGGGUAACCCAUUUGGACGGUACCUCCAGAAGCAGCCACGGCUAACUUCGUGCCAGCAGCCGCGGUAAGAC